GGGAAAGACGUCUUCCUGUUGGAGAGAUUUGUCUGAGGAGGUCAUUUUUUCCCUCUUCUGGGGUUAUAUUCUGUGAGAGAGGGCGGCACUGGAAGCCACCAGCUCCUGGCUUCCAGAUUUCAUCUUCUGCAGCCCCUAUGUUAUAGCCGGCAUCACCCGUUUCUCAUUCCAGAACACGGACACCAGCUAUAUUGGGUUCCUAAAAGAA